GUCGCUGGUGCUCUCGGUUUCGUGGUCGCCGCCGGCCGCCUCUCCCUCGCGGUGUGGCGGCGACACCGCUUCCCUGGGGCCGGGGCAGCUUCCCCGGUGCCUCAGCUCCAACAUCUUCCGCUCCCGCGCUGCCGUGGCGGCCUCCUCAAGCACCCCGAAACCUGAGCUGCAAGCAGGGUUCUGCAGGCGGGGCGCCCCGCCACCUCGCAGCCGCGCCCUGGAGUCCCGCGGAGCCGCAGCCACUAACGCGGCCCCACCAUAGAGCGGCCGCCGCGCCGGUCACCUCCAAAACGGCAUCAACGAGAGAGCGCUCGAGGCCGCCUGCAGCGAGCGCGGCUCCGGCGGAGGUCCCGGGCAGGCUCCGGGCGCCAGGCGCGAGCAGAGAAGGCGGAGACGCGGCCUCCGGUUGCCAGCCUCUACAGGUAUUAUCAAAGAGAAGAUGAGAACCUUGAACUGAGAGGACCUCACAAGCCUGUAGUGAAGGAAGACCCUGUUGCCAAGAUGAGGUGCAGACGGUGGAGUUAAUCAUUCUCCUCAGUUCCUACUUGGUGAAUGUUUCAUGCAUCCGUGUGAAGAGAGUCCACCAAACAGGCUUUGUGUCUUUACCUCUCAACUGAACCCUGAACUCCUGGAGAAUAGAUGCUGUCGGGAAAUCACCAGCUUCUCACAAAGCAAUGAUCGUUGAAUAAAUCCUUGUUAAAUAAUGACAGUUUUCCUUUUUGGAUUGCUGUGAUCUCUACUCCCAUCACGACUGCUAAGCCUUGGGCAGGAGACCUUGUAUUCCCAGCCAGCUAUUCUUCCCACCGCCAUCCGUAGUUGGUCUCACUAUGUUGUGCAGGCUGGCCUCAAACUCCUGGGCUCAAGGGAUCUUCUCAUCUCAUCCUUCCAAAGGGCUGCGAUUACAAGUGUGAGCCACUGCGCUGAGCUUGUUUUUUAUUCUUCUUGUCACUUUUUUUCCCUCAACCAACUGAAAGAAGGUUACAGAUAUUAUAACAUUUUAUCCCUAACUACUUCAGUGUCUGUCUCCUGAGAACAAGGACAAUUUCUUAUAUAACCAUGUUGCAAUUAUCAAAUUCAGAAAAUCGAAUAUGGAUACAAUACUAUCUAAUACAGUCCAAAUUGAAAUUUUGGCAAUUGUUCUAGAAAUGUCUUUUGCAAAAGCAAUGUGUUUCUUUGUAAUCCAAAAUCCAAGCUACAAUUACAUACUCAAUUUACUUUUUGUGCUUCUUUAGUUUUCUUUACAAGGGUUUCUCAGCUUUUCUUUGCUUUUCAUGACUGUGACUUUUUGAAGCAUGCAGCCUGUUGUUUUGUAGAAGACAUUUUAUUUUUUAACUUUUAUUUUAGGUUUUGGGGUACAUGUGAAGCUUUAGGUAAACUCAUGUCGUGUGGGUUUGUUGUACAGAUUAUUUUAUCACCCGGGUAUUAAGCCUAGUACCCAACAGUUAUUUUGUCUUCUCCUCUCUCUCCUCCCACCCUCCACCUUCCACUCUCAGGUAGAUCCCAGUGUUUGUUGUUCCCUUCUUUAUGUUCAUGAGUGCUCAUCAUUUAGCUCCCACUAAUAAGUGAGAACAUGCGGUAUUUGGUUUUCUGUUCCUGCAUUAGUUUGCUAAGGAUAAUGGACUCUAGCUCCAUUCAUCUUCCUGCAAAAGACAUGAUCUUAUCUUUUUUUAAUGGCUGCAUAGUAUUCCACAGUGUAUAUGGACCACAUUUUCUUUAUCCAGUCUGCCAUUGAUGGGCAUUUAGGUUGAUUUCAUGUCUUUGUUAUUGUGAAUAGUGCUGCAAUGAACAUACAUGUGCAUGUAUCUUUAUGGUAGAAUGAUUUAUAGUCCUCUGGAUAUAUGCCCAGUAAUGGGAUUGCUGGGUUGAAUGGUAGUUCUGCUUUUAGCUCUUUGAGGAAUCACCAUACUGCUUUUCACAAUGAUUGAACUAAUUUACACUCCCACCAACAGUGAAUAAGUGUUUCCUUUUAUCCACAAGCAACCUCACCAGCACCUGUUACUUUUUGACUUUUUUUUUUUUUUUUUUUGAGACGGAGUCUUACUCUGUCGCCCAGCCAGGAGUGCAGUGGCACGAUCUCGGCUCACUGCAACCCCCGCCUCCCAGGUUCAAGCGAUUCUCCUGCCUCAGUCUCCCAAGUAGCUGGGAUUACAGGCACCACCACCACCUUUGGCUAUUUUUUUUUUUUUUUUAGUAGAGACAGGGUUUCACCAUCUUGGCCAGUCUAGUCUUGAACUCCUAACCUGGUGAUCCACCUGCCUUGGCCUCCCAAAGUGAUGGGAUUACAGGCAUGAGCCACUGCGCCUGGCCUUGACUUUUAAUUAAUAGCCAUUCUGACUAAUGAUAUGGUAUCUCAGUGUGGUUUUGAUUUGCAUUUCUCUAAUGAUCAGUGAUACUGGUCUGUUUUUCAUAUGUUUGUGGGCUGAAUGUAUGUCUUCUUUCGAAAAGUGUCUGUUCACGUCCCUUGCCCCCUUUUAAAUGGGAUUUCUUGUUUCUCUUUUUGUAAAUUUGUUUAAGUUCCCUGUAGAUGUUGGGUAUCAGACCUUUGUCAGAUGCAUAUUUUGCAAAAAUUUUCUUCCAUUCUAUAGGUUGUCUGUUUACUCUGUUGACAGUUUCUUUUGCUGUGCAGAAGCUCUUUAGUUUAAUUAGAUCUCAUUUGCCAAUUUUUGCUUUUGUUGUCGUUGCUUUUGGCAUCUUUGUCGUGAAAUCUUUGCCCGUUCCUGUGUCCAGAGUGGUAUUCCCUUCCAGGAUCUUCCAGGGUUUUUAUAGUUUUAGGUUUUACAUUUAAGUCUUUAAUCCAUCUUGAGUUGAUUUUUACAUAUGGCAUAAAGAAGGGGCCCAACUUCAAUACUCUGCGUAAGGCUAGCCAGUUAUCCCAGCACCAUUUAUUUAAAAGGGAGUCUUUUCCUCAUUGCUUGUUUUUGUCAGCUUUUUUGAAAAUCAGAUGGUCAUAGGUGGACCUUAUUUCUGGACACUAUUUUGUUUCAUGGGACUAUGUGUCUAUUUCUGUACCAGUACCAUGCUGUUUUGGUUACUGUAGCCCUGUGAUAUAGUUUGAAAUCAGGUAACAUGAUGCCUCCAGCUUUGCUCUCUUUGCUUAGGAUUGCGCUGGCUACUCAGGUUCUUUUUUGAAUCCAUAUGAACUUUAAAAUAGUUUUUUCUAGUUCUGUGAAAAAUGUCAUUUGUAGUUGAAUAGGAAUAGCAUUGAAUCUAUAAAUUACUUUGAGCAGUUUGGCCAUUUUAAUAAUAUUGAUUCUUCCUAUCCAUGAGCAUGGGAUUUUUUCCAUUUGUUUGUGUCUUCUCUGAUUUCUUUGAGCAGUGUUUUGAGAUUCUCGUUGUAGCAAUCUUUCACUUGCCUGGUUAGCUGUAUUCCUAGGUAUUUUAUUCUUUUUGUGGCAAUUGUGAAUGGGAUUGCCUUUCUGAUUUGGCUCUCAGCUUGGCUGUUGUUGGUAUAUAGGAAUGCUAGUGAUUUUUGUAUUUUGAUUUUGUAUCCUGAAACUUUGCUGAAGUUGUUUAUCAGCUUAAGGAGCUAUUUGGCCAAGACUAUGGGGUUUUCUAGAUAUAGAAUCAUGUCAUCUGCAAACAGGGAUAGUUUGACUUCCUCUCUUUCUAUUUGGGUGCCUUUUAUUUCAUUCUCUUGCCUGAUGCUCCAGCUAGGACUUCCAAUGCUAUGUUGAAUAGAGGUGGUGAGAGAGGACAUCUUUGUUUUGUGCUGGUUUUCAAGAGGAAUGCUUCCAGCUCUUGCCCAUUCAGUAUGAUGUUGAAAAGACAUUUUAUAGGUUUUUAAAUUGGGAAGAGCAUCAGUACAGGGUCAAAAAGCUGGGAUUCUAAUUGGUGAACCACCACAAAUUAGCUGGCGGUCAUUUGCCUUCUCCAAAUCAGUUUUCUUAUCUUUAAAAUAGAAAUGUUGUCUGUCCUGACUGUCUCAGAGUUCUUUGGAAGAUAAAAUGAUAAAACAGGUAAGAAAUUACUUUAAAACUGCAAAGCAAUUUAGAAAAUGAAAGGCUUUACUUUAAGUUGUGAGUCGAUGCUAUAGAUUUUAAAAUGUUAUCAGUUGUAAGUGUUGUUCAUUCCGAUAGAAUACCAUUCUGUUUUCCCUUCUUUCUCUUCCUCCUUCCUCUUCUUUCUGUCUUUCUCUACACACACAAACCCUUACCUCUAGUAUUCCUAGAACGCAACGUAACAACAUAUUGCCAAAAGCUAAGUAGCAGGAGGAAAAAUUAACAUGUGGAAUGUUUCAAUAUUUUUAGCCAUAUCAUUAGAGUCAUAUUACCUAGUGCUUAAUUGGUGACUCUGUUCUCAGGAGUGGUGAAUGUAAGAUAUAAAAUUAUAAUGCUGCAAGGGACCUUUAAAAAUUUCUGAGGCCCAGUGCAGUGGCUCUCGUCUGUAAUCCCAGCACUUCAGGAGGCCAAAGCGGGAGGAUCACUUGAGCCCAAGAGUUCGAGACCAGGCUGGGCAACACAGGGAGACCCUGUCUCUAUAAAAAAUAAAUUAGCUGAGUUUUGUUGCAUGCAGCUGUAGUCCCUGCUACUUGGGAGGCUGAGGUGGGAGUAUCAGUUGAGUCCAGAAGGUCAAGGCUGCAGUGAGCUGUGAUCAUGCCACUGCACUCUAGUCUGGGUGGCAGAGUGAGACAGGGUCUCUCUGCAUCCUACACCCAGACUCACUCUGCACCCAGACUAGAGUGCAGUGGCAUGAUCACAACAACAACAAUAAAACAACAACAACAAAAAGAAAAAUUCUAGAUCAGAGUGUUCACCUCCAGAGGUAAUGAGUUGCCCAAGCCACACAGCUAAUCUGCAGAAUCAGGAUGAGACAUGCAGACUCUGUCUCCUGGUCCAGUGCCCUUUACCUCACCCUCAUUUCCUGAGUUUAUCCUGCCCCAGGGAGCCAGUCAAUUCAUUAAAAGAAUGUAGUCUGUGGGGAUAAAUCUGGUGAGGAUCAGUUUGGUCAUCUAACCCUAGAGGCAUUUGAAAGAAAGGGUGAAUGAACAGGUCAUGCGGAGUGAGAGGGUUGAGAGCAGGUGGCUGCUUCCAGGCCCCUCUCCUGCCACUCACCUAGGAGGCUGUACCAGGAGGCGGGUGGAGCUGCUCUGCCAUGGGAGGAAUUUCUACUUUAUUUACAUAGAAAACUUUAUUUGGAAACAAUUUUAAACUUGCAUAAAAAUUGAAAAAAUAAAAAUAGUACAGAAAACAUUCAAAUGUUCUUUACCCAAAUUCAUCUAUUAGCAGUAUGCCCCAUGAAUUUUAUCAUUUGCAUGCUCGCUCUCUCUCUCUCUUAAAUUGUGGUAAAAUACGGUUACCAUCUGAACUACUUUUAAGGGUACUGUUCAGUAGUAUGAAGUACAUUCACAUUGUUGUGCCACCAUUGUCUAUCCACAGAACUCUUUGCAUCUUGCAAAAUUGAAACUCCAUAGCCUUAAACCAUACACACACACAAACACACACACACACAUCUUUUUCGAACCAUUGAUAGUUAAUUACCUGAUGAUUUCCCCCUAGAUACUUCAGUGUAUAUUUUCUAUUUUAUUUUAUUUUAUAUUUUUUCAGACAAGGUCUUGCUCUGUUGCCCAGCCUGGAGUGCAGUGGUAUGACCAUAGCUCACUGCAGCCUCAAACUCCUGGGCUUAUGUGAUCCUCCAGCCUCAGCUUUGCCUAAGCUGAUCUUAAACUCCUGGCCUCAAGUGAUCCUCCCACCUUGGCCUCAUGAAGUGCUGGGAUUACAGGGGUGAGUCACCACUCCUGGCCUUCAGUGUAUAUUUUAUAGGAAUAGAGAUAUUAUCUUACUUAACCCCAGCACAGUGAUCAAGUUCAGUGAAUUUACAAUGAUGUAGUAGUUUUGUAUAAUCUACUGUUCAUAUUUCAGUUUUGUCAGUUGACCUAACAGCUCUUUCUAGCAUUUUUACCCCUCCAGUGUGUAAUUAAGCCUGGAAACAAAUAAUGCAUUUAGUUGUCACGUUUGUUUAGCUCCUUUAAUCUGGAUUAUUUCCAUAGCUUUUCUUUGUCUUAUGAUUUUGACAGUUUUCAAGAUUAUACUUCCCCCUUUAACUAAGCAGAAUAUUCAUCACUUGGGUUUUUCUGCUGUUUUCUUGUGGUUGCAGUCAGAUUACACAUUCUUGAUAAGAACAGUACAUGUGUGACAUGCUCAUCUCAAGGCUUCACAUCUGCAGGCACGUGAUGCCCAUCUGUUUCUUGUUAGUGAUGUUACAUGAGGCCACCAGAUCAAAGGGUUGUCUUAUUUCUCCACUGUAUAAUUACUAUUUUAUUUUUCCCCCUUCCAACUAAGAAGUGAUAGGUGGGAAGAUAUCUUAAGAUCAUGCAAAUAUCUGAUUCCUCAUCAGAAUUUCUCUCUAGAUUUGGAAUCUAUUAAUGUUUCUUGCCUUAUCCAAUCUCACUAUGAUUGCAAAAUGAUUAUUUUUAAAUCCCUGCAUUCCCUCCACAUUUACCAGUCUGCCCUCAGGAAGAGCCCUCCCUGUCAGCAAGAGCCCUCCCUUCUUCUUAUGUCUCUCUCUCUCUCACCUAUCUAUCUAAUGUUAGUAUGAACUUAUGAGUUCUUAAUUUUUCAAUGAUUUAUAAUUAAUCAUGCUAGUGCUCAAAUUGUCAUAGGUUUGGCCAGGAGAAGUCUCUUCAAUCUGGGCACCUGUGUCUUUGUGACUCGCUCCUUUUUUUUUUUUUUUUUUUUUUUUUGAGUACUUUCUCACUUUCUGACUUAAGCUGUUUUAGGCACAUCUUGUAUCCCUCUUGCCUCAACUCUGGAAUUGGUUACCACUACUUCUGAACUGGGUGGCAGCUACAGACAGAGGUGGUAAGGGAGUAAUUGCUUAGGAUUGGACUGAGCUGAAGAAUGUUUAGCCUGGCGGUACUAGUGCAACUGGAAGAACAGAUGAACCAUAGUUUGCAACACAAAGCCAAGUCAACCAACAGAAGAAAUAUAUAUUUUAAGAAGAUUUUAUAUUUUCAACUGAAAACGUUCAUGUCAGUUGUGAAUGUAUUUGUAAUUGGCAGCCCCAAAUCAUCUCCCUUUUUAUUUUUGAGAAAGUGUAGUGUGCUUUAGUAUUUGGAACAUUCAUUUAAACCUAUUAAAUUAUAUUUUAAAAUGCACUGUUCCCAUUUCAAUCAAAAUUGGUUUUAUACUAUAUAUUGUAACACUAAAGUGCUUCUGGUAAUUUGCUUGUAAAACCAAAACUCUUUUAAAUUUAUCCACUUGUCCCUUUCAGAAAUGACGUGUUUGUGCAUAGGACUUGUUAGUAUUCUGAUUCAAACAAAACUACAGUACAUGUAAAAACAUAUUUAUAGAACAUAAAUAAGAAAAUGUGAACCCUGAAGAAUAUUUGAUGGAACUAAUGGACUAUUCUAAUUUUUAUGUGUGAAAAUGAUAAUGUGAUUUUUUAAAAGAGUCCUUCUUUUUUAGACAUGCACACUGAAAUAAUUAUAGAUGAAAUUAUGCAAUGUCUGUGAUUUGUUUCAAAAUAGUCUGGUGCUUAGGGAGAGAGAAGUGGGUGGGGAGAGAGAUGAAAUAAGCUUAGUUAUGAGUUGGUAAUUGUUGAAGCUGGGUCCUAUAUAUAUAUGGGGGUAAGGUCAUAUUCUAUUCUACUUUUGCAUAGAUUUGAAAUUUUUCAUAAUAAAAAGUUAAAAACAAAUCACACACCAAAAAAACUCCCAAACCCAACUGUCAUUAUUUAAUAACUUUGAACUUGGUAUGGACCUAAGAAGGCAUCUUUUACAAGGGAAAUGUGCAGUUCCAAGUCUUUUUCUUGAUGAUUGGGUCUGAAUGUGUUAAUCAAUGCUGCCCUGUCAUAGCCCCGACAUAGGGAAAAUGCUGAAAUGUGAUUUUUAAAUCAUAAAAAUGUGCCCAUAGUAAUAGCUCCAUCUUUUGCACAAUAUUUAAAUCAAUUCAUUGAUUUCCAGUUGCCUGAUAUUCUUAUUUCAGUAACAAAAUAAACGAUACAUAGUUCAGUAAAGUUGAAUCCAUUUGGGUUCAUUUGUGCUCGAAGUCUGAAGCCAAGUAAGAUCUGCUUCUUAGCUGCAUGUCAGGGGAUAAGGCAUCAGUCUCUUUGUAAGGCUUGGUUUCCUUUUUUUUCUUUUAUCGUACAGUUUCUAACCACGUUCAUGAAUAGAUAAAUUAAGGACAAAAUACAUCUAUAUCCCUCCUUGGCUCUUUGUUUAUUUGCAUAUACAGAAUUACUAAUAUAGUCCAUGUCUGUAAAUGUCUUAAAAAUGUCUCCAUUAAAAAAAUCCAGAAAAAUGAUACUUUUUGACUUCACAUUCCCCUUUUCCCUCUUUAUUUUUCUGUUUUUUUUUUUUUUUUUUUUAACGGCAAAACUCCUCAAAAGGGUUGUCUAUACUGGCUGUCUCCAGUUCCUUUCCUCAUAUUGUUUCUUGAAUUCUUUCCCAUAUUCUUUCUUUGACUUCAUGAGGGCUUUUGCCACCACCACCACCACCCUGUUCUUGUCAAGGUUGUUAAUGAUGUUCUUUUUGCAAAAUCUGAGUGUCAAUUCAUCCAUCUGACAUGACCGACCCGCAGCAUUUGACAUGGCUGAUCACCCCAUGCUUUCUGAUACACUUUUUCACUUUACUCUCAGAUAAUGGUAUUCUCCUGGUUUUUCUUCUCCUUCACUGGAAACUCUUUCUAGUGUUUUUUGCUGAUUCUUCCUUAUAUUCUUGAUUUAAGGCUCAGGUUCCAGUCUUUGAAAUCCUUCUUUUCCCUAUCUAUGCUUAGUAUCUUGCUAAUACCAUUUAAUCUCAACCCAGCUCUAAAUAUUAUACAAAAGCAGAUGUUCUCAAAUUUAUACCCAGCCCAGACCCCUUCCUGUGAAUUUCAGGCUCUUAUAUGAAACGACCCCCGUGGCCUUUUGGAUGUCAAAAAGGCAUCUCAAAAUUAACAUGUCUAAAAUUGAAUUAUUAGUCUUUCUAACCACCCCAAACCCUGUUGGCCUCCCUGCAGUCCACCUCAUCUAAGUGAAUGGCUGCUGCACAAUUCCUGUUGUUCAGGCCAAAUCCUUAAAGUCAUCCUCCCUCCUUUUUAUAACCCACAUUCGACCUUUGCACAAAUCCUGUUGUUUUUACCAUAAAAAUAUAUCUAGACUCUAUCUCUCACUGUCUCCAUUGUGAUCACCCUGCUUUCUCUACUGUAUUGUUUCAAAAGCCUCCCAGUUGGUCUUUCUAUCUUUCUUUUCUUUCUUUCUUUCUUUUUUUUUUUCUGAGACAGAGUUUUGCUCUUGUCGCCCAGGCUGGAAUGCAAUGGUGUGAUCUUAGCCCACUGCAACCUCUGCCUCCCAGGUUCAAGUGAGUCUCUUGCCUCAGCCUCCUGAAGUAGCCAGGAUUACAGUCAUCCGCCACCAUGCCCAGCUAAUCUUUUUUCUGUAUGUUUAGUUAAGACGGGGUUUCACCAUGUUGGCCAGACUAGUCUUGAAUUCCUGAUCUCAGGUGAUCCACCCGCCUCGGCCUCCCAAAGUGCUGGGAUUACAGGCGUGAGCCACCAUGCCCAGCCUGGUCUUUCUUUGUCUUUGCGGCUCAGCAGUCUAUUCUCCAUACAACAGCCAAAGUGGUUCUUUUUUUUUUUUUUUUUUAAAUUAUUAUACUUUAAGUUUUAG
rnacentral:lncRNA from 1 species